UACAGAGGUCCCAAGCGUUGUUCGGAUUUACUGGGCGUAAAGGGUGCGUAGGCGGUCGGGUAAGUCUGACGUGAAAUCUUCAAGCUUAACUUGGAAACUGCGUCGGAUACUAUUCGGCUUGAGGAAUGGAGGGGAGACUGGAAUACUUGGUGUAGCAGUGAAAUGCGUAGAUAUCAAGUGGAACACCAGUGGCGAAGGCGAGUCUCUGGACAUUUCCUGACGCUGAGGCACGAAAGCCAGGGGAGCAAACAGG
rnacentral:rRNA from 1 species